rnacentral:rRNA from 1 species
GACGAACGCUGGCGGCAGGCCUAACACAUGCAAGUCGAACGAGUGGCGGACGGGUGAGUAAUGUCUGGGACACUGCCCGAUGGAGGGGGAUAACUACUGGAAACGGUAGCUAAUACCGCAUACCAUCGGAUGUGCCCAGAUGGGAGUAGCUAGUAGGUGGGGUAACUGCUCACCUAGGCUACGAUCCCUAGCUGGUCUGAGAGGAUGACCAGCCACACGGUAACUGAGAAACGGUCCAGACUCCUACGGGAGGCAGCAGUGGGUAAUAUGGCACAAUUGGCGCAAGCCUGAUGCAGCCAUGCCGCGUGUAUGAAGAAGGCCUUCGGGUUGUAAAGUACUUGCAGCGAGGAGGCGUUACUCGCAGAAGAAGCACCGGCUAACUCCGUGCCAGCAGCCGCGGUAAUAC